rnacentral:rRNA from 1 species
ACGCUGGCGGCAGGCCUAACACAUGCAAGUCGAGCGGUAGAGAGAAGCUUGCUUCUCUUGAGAGCGGCGGACGGGUGAGUAAUGCCUAGGAAUCUGCCUGGUAGUGGGGGAUAACGUCCGGAAACGGACGCUAAUACCGCAUACGUCCUACGGGAGAAAGCAGGGGACCUUCGGGCCUUGCGCUAUCAGAUGAGCCUAGGUCGGAUUAGCUAGUUGGUGGGGUAAUGGCUCACCAAGGCGACGAUCCGUAACUGGUCUGAGAGGAUGAUCAGUCACACUGGAACUGAGACACGGUCCAGACUCCUACGGGAGGCAGCAGUGGGGAAUAUUGGACAAUGGGCGAAAGCCUGAUCCAGCCAUGCCGCGUGUGUGAAGAAGGGUCUUCGGAUUGUAAAGCACUUUAAGUUGGGAGGAAGGGCAGUAAAUUAAUACUUUGCUGUUUUGACGUUACCGACAGAAUAAGCACCGGCUAACUCUGUGCCAGCAGCCGCGGUAAUACAGAGGGUGCAAGCGUUAAUCGGAAUUACUGGGCGUAAAGCGCGCGUAGGUGGUUCGUUAAGUUGGAUGUGAAAUCCCCGGGCUCAACCUGGGAACUGCAUUCAAACUGACGAGCUAGAGUAUGGUAGAGGGGUGGUGGAAUUUCCUGUGUAGCGG